rnacentral:rRNA from 1 species
UGGGGAAUUUUGGGCAAUGGGCGAAAGCCUGACCCAGCAACGCCGCGUGAAGGAUGAAGUAUUUCGGUAUGUAAACUUCGAAAGAAUAGGAAGAAUAAAUGACGGUACUAUUUAUAAGGUCCGGCUAACUACGUGCCAGCAGCCGCGGUAAUACGUAGGGACCAAGCGUUGUUCGGAUUUACUGGGCGUAAAGGGCGCGUAGGCGGCUUGACAAGUCACUUGUGAAAUCUCUGGGCUUAACCCAGAACGGCCAAGUGAAACUGUCAUGCUAGAGUGCAGAAGGGGCAAUCGGAAUUCUUGGUGUAGCGGUGAAAUGCGUAGAUAUCAAGAGGAACACCUGAGGUGAAGACGGGUUGCUGGGCUGACACUGACGCUGAGGCGCGAAAGCCAGGGGAGCAAACGGGAUUAGAUACCCAUGUAGUCCCUGAGCGGGCUGGCAAGGCGCAU